ensembl:lncRNA
GUAAAGGGUUGGUCUUGCUUCUUAAUUCCUGAAUCCUAAUAAUGAAGGAAACGCUUCUUUCUGAACUUUACACUGAGGUUGACCUGAGAUUUGAAACAUUACAUACACUCAGCUGACAGUUUACUAGGUAUCAUACAGGUUCACAUAGCUACAGUUAUCAUGUACAGUUACUGAGUGGUGGAUCAUUUCUGAGAUAUUGAGUGGCAUAUCAUUUUUGAGUUAUGGAGUGGUGGAUCAUUUCUGAGUUACAGAGUGGUGGAUCAUUUCUGAGUUACCGAGUGGUGGAUCUUUUUUGAGUUACAGAGUGGUGGAUCUUUUUUGAGUUAUCAAGUGAGUGGUCAUUUCUGAGUUACCGAGUGGUGGAUUAUUUCUGAGUUACCAAGUGGUGGAUCAUUUCUGAGUUACAGAGUGGUGGAUCAUUUCUGAGUUACCGAGUGGUGGAUCAUUUCUGAGUUACAGAGUGGUGGAUCAUUUUUGAGUUACAGAGUGGUGGAACAUUUCUGAUUACACGAGUGGUGGAUCAUUUCUGAGUUACCGAGUGGUGGAUCAUUUCUGAGUUACUGAGUGGUGGAUCAUUUCUGAGUUACAGA